UGGUGGGGUGACUUGUCUGCUUAAUUGCGAUAACGAACGAGACCUUAAUCUGCUAAAUAGCCCGCAUUGCUCCGGCAGUGCGCUGGCUUCUUAGAGGGACUUUCGGCUCAAGCCGAAGGAAGUUUGAGGCAAUAACA
rnacentral:rRNA from 1 species